GUUGCGAUUGCCGAGUGGUUAAGGCGUUUGACUAGAAAUCAAAUGGGAUCUUCCCGCGUAGGUUCCGCGAAUCCUACUCGCAACG